rnacentral:tRNA from 1 species
GGUCGUUUAGCUCAGUCGGUUAGAGCUUCGUGCUAAUAACGCGAGGGUCGCAGGUUCGAGCCCUGCAUCGACCA